AGCAGCCGCGGUAAUUCCAGCUCCAAUAGCGUAUAUUAAAGUUGUUGCAGUUAAAAAGCUCGUAGUUGAAUUUCGGGAUCAAUACGUCGGUCGUGCUUCGGUACGUACUAACGUCAUUGAUUUCUCCCUUCUGACGAAUCGUGAUGUCAUUAAUUUGGUGUUACGGGGAGUUAGGACUGUUACUUUGAAAAAAUUAGAGUGUUUAAAGCAAGCAAUCGCUCGAAUACAUUAGCAUGGAAUAAUGAAAUAGGACGUUCGAACCUAUUUGUUGGUUUCUAGGAUCGACGUAAUGAUUAAUAGGGAUAGUUGGGGGCAUUAGUAUUCAAUUGUCAGAGGUGAAAUUCUUGGAUUUAUUGAAGACUAACUACUGCGAAAGCAUUUGCCAAGGAUGUUUUCAUUAAUCAAGAACGAAGUUAGGGAUCGAAGACGAUCAGAUACCGUCGUAGUCUUAACCAUAAACUAUA
rnacentral:rRNA from 1 species